rnacentral:rRNA from 1 species
AUUGAACGCUGGCGGCAUGCCUUACACAUGCAAGUCGAACGGCAGCACGGGAGCAAUCCUGGUGGCGAGUGGCGAACGGGUGAGUAAUAUAUCGGAACGUGCCCAGUCGUGGGGGAUAACGUAGCGAAAGCUACGCUAAUACCGCAUACGAUCUAUGGAUGAAAGCGGGGGAUCGCAAGACCUCGCGCGAUUGGAGCGGCCGAUAUCAGAUUAGGUAGUUGGUGAGGUAAAGGCUCACCAAGCCGACGAUCUGUAGCUGGUCUGAGAGGACGACCAGCCACACUGGGACUGAGACACGGCCCAGACUCCUACGGGAGGCAGCAGUGGGGAAUUUUUGGACAAUGGGCGCAAGCCUGAUCAGCAAUGCCGCGUGCA